rnacentral:rRNA from 1 species
UAACACAUGCAAGUCGAUCGAGAAACUCCGGGCUUGCUCGGAGAAGUAAAGUGGCGCACGGGUGAGUAACGCGUGGGUAACCUACCCCUUAAUCUGGGAUAACUUCGCGAAAGUGUUGCUAAUACCGGAUACCGUCCUUUGAACGAAGGUUCUUGGGAUGAAAGGUGACCUAUCCAUGGAAGUUGCCGUUUAGGGAGGGGCCCGCGUCCCAUUAGCUUGUCGGUGAGGUAAUGGCCCACCAAGGCUACGAUGGGUAGCUGGUCUGAGAGGAUGAUCAGCCACACUGGAACUGAAACACGGUCCAGACUCCUACGGGAGGCAGCAGUGAGGAAUUUUGCGCAAUGGGGGAAACCCUGACGCAGCAACGCCGCGUGAGUGAAGAAGGCCUUCGGGUCGUAAAGCUCUGUCAAGUGGGAAAAAAUCCUUGCGAUGAAUAGUCGUAAGGCUUGAUGGUACCUCUAAAGGAAGCACCGGCUAACUCCGUGCCAGCAGCCGCGGUAAUACGGAGGGUGCGAGCGUUGUUCGGAAUUAUUGGGCGUAAAGAGCGCGUAGGCGGUUUGGUAAGUCAGAUGUGAAAGCCCUGGGCUCAACCCAGGAAGUGCAUUUGAUACUACCAAACUUGAGUAUGGGAGAGGAGAGUGGAAUUCCCAGUGUAGAGGUGAAAUUCGUAGAUAUUGGGAGGAACACCCGUGGCGAAGGCGACUCUCUGGACCAAUACUGACGCUGAGGCGCGAAAGCGUGGGGAGCAAACAGGAUUAGAUACCCUGGUAGUCCACGCCGUAAACGAUGAGAACUAGGUGUAGCGGGUAUUGACCCCUGCUGUGCCGGAGCUAACGCAUUAAGUUCUCCGCCUGGGGAGUACGGCCGCAAGGCUAAAACUCAAAGGAAUUGACGGGGGCCCGCACAAGCGGUGGAGCAUGUGGUUUAAUUCGACGCAACGCGAAGAACCUUACCUGGGUUUGACAUCCUUUGACUGCCCCGGAAACGGGGUUUUCCCUGCUUGCAGGGACAGAGUGACAGGUGCUGCAUGGCUGUCGUCAGCUCGUGUCGUGAGAUGUUGGGUUAAGUCCGCAACGAGCGCAACCCCUGUCUUUAGUUGCCAGUAUUUAGUUAGGCACUCUAAAGAUACUGCCUCGGUUAACGAGGAGGAAGGUGGGGAUGACGUCAAGUCCUCAUGGCCUUUAUACCCAGGGCUACACACGUGCUACAAUGGGCUGUACAAAGGGUUGCUAUCCCGCGAGGAGGAGCUAAUCCCAAAAAGCAGCUCUCAGUUCGGAUCGGAGUCUGCAACUCGACUCUGUGAAGUUGGAAUCGCUAGUAAUCGUGGAUCAGCAUGCCACGGUGAAUACGUUCCCGGGCCUUGUACACACCGCCCGUCACACCACGAAAGUUGGUUGUACCAGAAGUUGCUGGGCUAACCCCGCUUGCGGGGAGGCAGGUACCUAAGGUACGGCUGGUAAUUGGGGUGAAGUCGUAACAAGGUA